AAGUGAAACUGACAGUCGCUUUCAUGAUUUAACUUACAGUGAUCAAACUAUUCCUGUUUCUUCUCUGUUCAUGGUCAUUUUCUGCUAAAACAGAUUCAGAAUGAUCUAUCAGGUCCUCGUCAACUUUAAUGACAGCAAGAAUAAACCGCUAGAAGUGGCGGAUUCAUUAGAAGAGUUUAAUAAAACCACCAUCAGAGAACUGAAGGAGAAGUUCAGAGAGAAGAUUCCUGGAGCACCUGAUCUAGAUCUCUUACGGGUGAUUUUUGGAAGAGAUCCACUGGAAGACCAUCAAACACUUGAGUUUUAUAACAUUAAACAUUUAUCUCUUCUUCUCUUUCUGAUGAGAAUGCCCGGUGGAGGAGGAGGAACAGACCCUGAUGAAGGAUUUCCCAGAUCUGAUUCCAUGGAAAAAUUAUCUUACAACAUGUAGAUGUGUUACACUCACUAGACAUUCAGUCAAAAUAGUUGAAUAUUUCACAUAUCGCUGGUCAUAAGAAACACUGUAUCAUCCACUUCUGUCGCCAAUCUGGAUGGAUGAACACAUAUACACAGUUACUGUAACUCUCAGAAAAAAAAAGGUACAAAAAAUAGGGAUGUACCUUUUCAAAAGGUAUUAAUAUGUACACUUUAGGUACAUAAUGUACCUUUGCGCUAUAGGCUGAGGAGCUUGGUCCACCAAUGCACAGCCCAGGUCAGCCAGUGCACCAGGACCCUCUGCUCCAUGGCCCAGGCCCGCCCAUGAUCCUUGAUUUAUUUUCAAGUUCAGGUUAAUGUGUCAUUGCUUUGUUUAUGAUUCGAUUUGCCAUGGUUUGCCAUGUCAUGUGAUUCCCUGCUCCUCAUGUGAUCAUGCCAUGUUCUCAUUGGUUGAUUUAGUCAUGUGGUUUAUCAGUUCUGUUUUGUGAUUGGGUCAUUGUCUUGAUUGUUCACAGGUGUUCCUUGUUUGUCAUUAGUCUCUUUGUAUAAAUAUCCCUCAUGUUUCAUUGUUCUUUUGUCUAGCUUUGUUCAGGCAACCCAUUUUGGUGAGUUUGUUUGUCCAUGUCCAUGUCCAUGUCCAUGUCCAUGUCCAUGUCCAGUCCAGUCCAGUCCAGCCCAGCCCAGUCCAGCCAAGUCUUUGUUUAUUUUGUGUUUGGUUUACAGAUUCACGUAUCUUAUUCUAAUAAAACUGCACUCGGUUUCUCACUGCAA